ensembl:snoRNA SNORD34 Small nucleolar RNA SNORD34
GCUGACAGUGAUGCUUUCUUGUACCUACAUUGUUUGAAUGGUCAGUGUGAGAAUAUAUAAUCAUCUGAGUCAUGC